rnacentral:lncRNA from 1 species
CCCAGAUGAAAGGGAAGAAAUGAGGAAUGGCUUCAGCAUCAAAGUAUACUCCCCAUCAGCAUAUCUCACCACUGGCGACUCACCCUUUGAAUGAAAACCCCUCAGAAAAAAUUCCAUGUGCUAUGAUGAAUUGCUGUCCACUCAACCAACCCAAGACCAGCAGGAACAAAGCCUACUCUGAAAAAGCCUACAAAGUUGUGUUCAUUGACACAUUGCAAAGAGACCACACACCAGGAGAACCAUAGGGUAUCUCCCCAAACAAGGAAAAGAAAAGAAUUACAGUAUGGGGCAAGGGGAGGAAUGGAAUUUAAGUGAAAUGUAUUUUGACAGACUCAAAGCAAGAUAGGUCUAAAUGUAAAGGUAUUAUUUUAAGUCCUGGACUAUGAAGCAGACCCAGGAACCUGUUUGCUGGGAAGCAAUAAGAUUAUUAUCCAUAGCUGUGGAAUACUGUGUCCAAAAACCCCUCCUCCAAAGCUCUGUACCUAGGGUUUGAAUCAAGGCUUCUUCUCUCUUGGUGACUUAGAUCCUCCAGGCAAGGGUGAGAUGUUUCACUCUAACAUCAUUUCAAACAGCAAUGUUUCUGAUAGUCUAAGAUUUUAGAGAAAAAAGGUUUCUCAGUGAGUCAGAAGGCACUACUCACUCCAAGAAGGGGGUUGUUGUGACCCUUUACCACUACAGUGUGCCCCUUGGGAGAAAUACUAUUUAUUGUUAACUUUGAAUCUGCUUUUAUCUUUUAUUCCAGCCUGAUGAAUGGCCAGGCAGAUUUUAACAGUCCAAGCUAAUUUUUACUUUCUCUUGUCUCAAUGGGGGUGACAGACAAUCAGGUCAUUACAACACAGUGGGAGAAGCAACUAUGAUGAGGGUUUAAUUUAGACUUCAUUUAGGUCAGGGAAGACUGUCUGCAGGAGGCAGACCUCCCAGCUGGGAAAAGCAGAAGCUGGCCGAACGAAAGUGGGAAGGAGGAGUGUUACAGCACAGUGAGGACUUGGGCAGAGGCACCAGAGUGGGGCAGAGGGUGGUAAAUUGGAGGAAUCACAAGUGUCAUUGAAGGCAAAUCAACGGAAUGUCUAGAAUGCUUUGGAGGACUGCGUAACACUUACAUCAGAACUUAGACCAAACUCUCCUCUGGCUAAGGUUAGAAAGCACAGGUCACUGGGAGUAUGUGUUCUCUGUUCAGGGGAGAGUCAUUAGCGUGGUCUUCCUAUGCAUAUACACAUGAAAGGCAAGUAGCCCCCAGAGGGGAAGUGCUAAGGGGGAGUUCCCCCGAGGUUUCCUAAGGCACCUGGUUUGCAAAGCUGAUCCCUGUGUGGAAAGUGGAGCCAUUUGUAGACUUGCCCUGAACCAUCCCAUCCUGUUUCCUGAGGACAUUUAGGGAACCAGGCUAGCCUUUAACCAAUGCUGAGUUUCAGGAAAGGACAAGGACAACCAAGAAAUAAAACCACCAUGAAGAAACAGGGUGUUUCUGAGAACUGAAUAUACCAGUGGGUGGUAUCAUUCAAGGUCCUGGGAGGGAACAGACUGCACAGUGAAACAGGAUAAUCCUCUUUCUCGUCUCUUCACUGGCCGAAACCAAUCAGGAACAAAGGGCAAGGAUUUAAUUGGUCCAGGUGGACCUGGGCAUCGGAGGUCAUGUAGCUCUGCAGGGCACUGCAGUGUGUGGUCAGCACUGAGGGCACCUCUCUCUGAGAGCUGCCAAGGCUGUCCCUGGAGGUCAUCCUCCAGGACAGAGAGCAAGGUGGAAAAGGGAGAACAGUGGAUUUGGAGGGACAAAGUAGAAAGUUCUAGAACACGGGCUAAUACUAAGGGCUCUUUUGGACUUGUUCACCCUGGCACAGAGGUUUUUCUCUGCAAAACAACAGCUGGAUUUGGGAAAGUGAGAUAAAAGGAGUUGUCACUUAUAGCACAGCAGGGAACAGCAGACCCUAGCACUGUGGACCUGGUGUCUUCAACAAACUGCCACUUUGGAGACAAGCAGUAGAAAGAAUUUUAAAUUAUUGAACUUACUAGUUUUAACUUAUAUUAUUUUAAAUGAUUUCUUAUUUAAAAAAUUAACGAGUGUCCAUGUUGGCACCCUUUGUUAGAGAAGCAGAUCCUGUUAGAGUGGUGACAGCCAAGUCUGGAGCCCUAAGCAAGUCUGGAAGGACAUGAGUGUCAGGUGGAGACUUUAUCCUGAGGGCAGUGUGGACCUGGAGGGCCUCCAGCAGGGAGCAGCAUGUGGUACUGGCUGCUUUUGCUGGAUUAUGCUGUGAUAGGCAAGCCCCUGCCCAUCCCUUACAUUACCAGGAAGGAUUGCAUAUUAAUUCUGUUGUCACCUGACUCCCUUGCCCAGAUGGGGAAGACAACUGUUAAGCACUAGAAGAGAAGACAAGAAAGGGGAGUCAGAACACAGGGACAAAAAACAGUACUUGCUUUUCAAUUUUGAGCCUUCAAGAUAUCGGCUGGAGAACUAGAAAAUCUU